rnacentral:rRNA from 1 species
UCAACCCUGUGAACUUACCUAAAACGUUGCUUCGGCGGGAACAGACGGCCCCGUAAAACGGGCCGCCCCCGCCAGAGGACCCUUAACUCUGUUGCUAUAGUAUCUUCUGAGUAAAACAAGCAAAUAAAUUAAAACUUUCAACAACGGAUCUCUUGGCUCUGGCAUCGAUGAAGAACGCAGCGAAAUGCGAUAAGUAAUGUGAAUUGCAGAAUUCAGUGAAUCAUCGAAUCUUUGAACGCACAUUGCGCCCGCCAGUAUUCUGGCGGGCAUGCCUGUUCGAGCGUCAUUACAACCCUCAGGCCCCCGGGCCUGGCGUUGGGGAUCGGCGAGGCGCCCCCUGUGGGCACGCGCCGUCCCCCAAAUACAGUGGCGGUCCCGCCGCAGCUUCCAUUGCGUAGUAGCUAACACCUCGCAACUGGAGAGCGGCGCGGCCAUGCCGUAAAACACCCAACUUCUGAAUGUUGACCUCGAAUCAGGUAGGAAUACCCGCUGAACUUAAGCAUAUCAAUAAGCGGAG